rnacentral:rRNA from 1 species
AUUGAACGCUGGCGGCAGGCCUAACACAUGCAAGUCGAGCGGAUGAAGGGAGCUUGCUCCUGGAUUCAGCGGCGGACGGGUGAGUAAUGCCUAGGAAUCUGCCUGUUAGUGGGUGAUAACGUCCGGAAACGGGCGCUAAUACCGCAUACGUCCUGAGGGAGAAAGUGGGGGAUCUUCGGACUUCACGCUAUCAGAUGAGCCUAUGUCGGAUUAGCUAGUUGGUGGGGUAAAGGCCUACCAAGGCGACGAUCCGUAACUGGUCUGAGAGGAUGAUCAGUCACACUGGAAAUCAGACACGGUCCCGACUCCUACGGGAGGCAGCAGUGGGGAAUAUUAGACAAUGGGCGAAAGCCUGAUCCAGCCAUGCCGCGUGUGUGAAGAAGGUCUUCGGAUUGUAAAGCACUUUAAGUUGGGAGGAAGGGCAGUAAGUUAAUACCCUGCUGUUUUGACGUUACCAACAGAAUACGCACCGGCUAACUUCGUG